GACGAACCGUCCUAACGUUGUUCGGAAUCACUGGGCUUAAAGGGCGCGUAGGCGGGUCAGCAAGUCCGGGGUGAAAUCUUUCGGCUCAACCGGAAAAUAGCCUUGGAUACUGCUGGUCUCGAGGGAGGUAGGGGCCUGUGGAACUUCCGGUGGAGCGGUGAAAUGCGUUGAUAUCGGAAGGAACGCCGGUGGCGAAAGCGACGGGCUGGACCUCUUCUGACGCUGAGGCGCGAAAGCUAGGGGAGCAAACGGG
rnacentral:rRNA from 1 species